AAUAGCAAUGAUAUCCCUUGAGCAUCAAAUCCCAUCAGAACUACAAAGUUAAGCGUGCUUGGGCAUGAAUAGUACUAGGAUGGGUGAACCCCCGAGAAGUCCUCGUGUUGCAUUCC
rnacentral:rRNA from 2 species